UACAAAAGUAUAAUUCCUAAUUUUACAUUGUACUUUUCAUUACCAACUUUGUUGUUUUUUGUCAUUUUAAACGCAAAAUAGCGUUCAGCAUCAUCGACCUCCCACGUGACCUCUGGCCUGGAUUUAAAAUUUUUACCGGUAUGUUCGCGUGCACGGCAGGUACGGAUUCCUUGGUUCGUACAUUGGUUGGUUAAUUUGUGCUAACACCAGUUUAUUGCGCUUCGAUAUCUCGCGUUAUUUAACUUGGGGUGUAAGCCUGAAAGCUAGGUUUCAGUCGUGAGCCAUGUGGAACACGUCUGCAUCGAAAUGGGAGCCGGGUCCUGCUGCGACUGGGGACAGCAAUACCGACAUGCAGUAAUGAGGAUGGCACCAGUAUAAAGCAACACACUCCAUGCACUAAACAGAAGCUGCUGCCUGCUACAACAAGGUCAUUGUGUGGACUUUGGCUGCUACUACAAGAGUCUGUGCCAAGUACAUCUUGGUCAUCACGGGAGCCCCCAUCUACACCAACAGGAAGGGGCUGGAGCUGAAUUCACAAGACCACGAACAAAGAAGCCAUUCCAGAAUUAUUUGGAUGAGAUAUCAAGUCUACGGACGACUGUUUCAAGAGUGAAAAGAGCCUACGCCAUCAUUCCACCAGCACGGAUAUUG